rnacentral:tRNA from 1 species
GGAAAGAUGCUCGAGUGGUUGAAGAGGCACGCCUGGAAAGCGUGUAUACCCCUAAAGGGUAUCGGGGGUUCGAAUCCCUCUCUUUCCG